AAUGCAGGUGUUUCCUGUCAGAAAUUCUGGCAGUUGUCAAGGAAAAUAAUAAGAAAAUAUGGAAACUCAGAUUAAUUGAAAGGAUGAGACUUAUCUUUAACAGACAUUUUGAUAGUGUGGACUAUUUGUGCAAUGAUAAAUAGCGAUUCAAAUGCUGGAAAGUGGAUGAAUAAAUUGGCGAACAAGAGUGUCAGUUGUGAACUGCAAACAAUUUCGGAUAAGAAUUAAACGAGGCAUGGGACUAUAUAAUAUGUGCUUGGUUGGUUGUAUUAUCUUGAUCAAGACAUGUGUAUAAUUUUGUAUCUCGUUGCUUGCAGCCUAAAAGGAAAUGACUUUUAAAGCCGUUUUUAUCACAGUUCAAAUGAUAAGAUACUCGCUAAAGAAAAUAAAUAGGAAUUCCAAAAAAUAAGAUUUCAUUUCGUUCCGUCAACAGAUGACUCUUACUUUUACUUUUACAGCCCUUGUUACCCACUGUCGAUCGGGGCUUGUACUGGAUCUUCGGCAUGUCUGUUCAACAAUUCUGACUAUACAUUUCAAGACAUCGGUGAUUCGAGGGAACCUGCAUUUGAAUACACCGGAGAAAAUGUUGUAAUGACUUACAGAAGCCGAGAUCACUUAAGAACAACUCAUGUUACAAACAUUUGCAAGCAAGAUACAUUCUACCCUAUAUUGAAUGUGGCAGGGGAGACCACACCACAGACAUUUCAAAUGGAGAUGAUCUCAGCACAAGCUUGCAAUCAAUGAGCAGUCAAGUAGCAGACGUUCGAAAGAAAGAAACCGUUUAAAAUCGUGUUAAAGAAAUCUAAAACGAUGUACAUUCUUCGGUUAUUUUACUGCUAUAAUUUCCAUGAUGUUCUUAUUAGGGACAUAUUUAUAUAAAUACAGAUGUGCUGGCUAUUACCGAAUUAUUUUAGAAUUCUUUUAUUUGCAUAUGUAUACCUACAUUGGAUAUUCAUCGGUGAAAUAAAUAGUGUUA